GACAUUUAUAGUGAGUGAUAUCUACUAGUAUGGUUAUUUUAGGAUAGGCAAGUUUGUAGUAAAAUUGAUAACAGAUGGCAAUUUCUUUAGAUAUUUGGACAAGUGACACUAUUUGUUUAUUAGAUUCAAUACUUUUACGGUGUGGUCUGAAACGCUAAAUAUUUCGUAAGGCUAGCCUAAUUUCGUAAUUGGACAGUGAAUCACGUAUUUCUGUUUUAAUAUCUUCGUAUUUUUAAUUUUAGUAGAACACACCCUUCCUGUUGCACAGUGUUACUGCUACUCAGUCACUAAGUCUUGGUUCAAUAUAGUUAUAAAAAGUUGAAUCAUCAAACUUUUUUAUUAUUAUCAGGCCUUCAACUCUUUCUUGUCUCUACACGCCUACAACAGUACAAGUAGAAUUAGGGAGUUUGAGUGAAGGGAAUUGUUAUAUCUGACGAAAAAGUGACAUGAAUUAAGCAAACCCACAUGCAGAUAAGUGGACACGAAGGAUCAGAUAUAAGAAUGGUUCAGGCAACAGAAAACCAGAGACAGACCACUCGUGGAGGCCAGAGAAUCUACAAGAUUGUAGUACUAGGAGAUGGUGGGGUUGGGAAAAGUGCAUUGACACUUCAGUUUGUGACUCACAGUUUUCUAGAGUAUCAUGAUCCUACUAUAGAGGAUGCUUACCAACAUCAAGCUGUCAUUGAUGGGGAAGCUGCUCUGUUAGAUAUACUUGACACAGCUGGACAAAUGGAGUUUACAGCAAUGAGAGAUCAAUACACAAGGUGUGGGGAAGGGUUCAUAAUCUGUUACUCUAUCACAGAUCGUCGUAGCUUUGAAGAAGCGGUGGAGUACAAAAACCAGAUUGAAAGGGUUCGCCACUCAGAAAAUAUCCCUAUUGUAUUAGUGGGCAACAAAUAUGACCUAGAACACCAAAGAAAAGUGGCAACAGAAGAAGGUCAGUCAUUGGCUCGGCAGCUGAGCUGCCCUUUCUAUGAAACUUCAGCAGCAUUGAGACAUUUUGUUGAUGAUGUGUUCCAUGCUCUUGUCAGAGAAAUUCGAAAAAAAGAAAAGGAGCGUCUGCUGGUGGCAGAGAAAGUGAAGAAAAGACGCAGCAUGUGGCGAAGACUGCGAUCUGUUCUGAGGUUUAUAUUCCGAAAACGAAGAUCAUAAGCAUAACCUAUCUGAUCUCAUUUUUAUAGUCAGAAUCCUUAACCACAUGUAUGUAUGUAUAUGUGUGUGUGUGUGUGUGUGUGUGUGUGUCUAUUU
rnacentral:misc_RNA from 1 species